rnacentral:tRNA from 1 species
AAUUAAUAAGCUUUUAAAGCAUUUGUUUUGAAAACUUAAGAAAGAAAUAUAAUAUUCUAUUAAUUU